UGCUCCUAACAAACUUUGGAUCAGGAGGAUGAGUUCCUCCGAACAUUACUUUUAUUUUUUCUCAAAAAAAAAUAAUUGGCCAACUCAUCUGAAAUGACGCUCACAAUGGCCAUCAAUGGGCCUUAUUUGCAAUAAAAAUUCUCCAUUUCAGUAUUGAACUCCAUACCAUUACUAUACUAGCACUAAUAUAGUACGAAAAUUUUCGAAUAUCGAUUCGUCAUCUAUACCAAAUAUAGAUACCAAAUCGGUAUAAUACGAUAUAACUCAUAUUGUUCGCUGGGACAGCAUACCAUACUUUCAAUUAAAAAAUAUUAACAUAAAAAAUAUAUAGAAGACCAUUUUUCCUUUUCCUCUCUAGAUUUGAAGAGAGUUAGGAGGAGGCCAGAGUCUUUUCACACCCACAGGCAUAGGCAUGAGGCUUCCAAAGAGAUGGUCGCAGGAUGCAAUUCCUUAAAACCAAGUUAACAGCGAUAGAAUGAUCACACUGCUUUCGAAGUACGGG
rnacentral:lncRNA from 1 species